rnacentral:rRNA from 1 species
GCUUCUGCGCUGACGAGUGGCGGACGGGUGAGUAACGCGUAGGAAUCUGCCCAGUAGAGGGGGACAACCCGGGGAAACUCGGGCUAAUACCGCAUACGCUCUACGGAGGAAAAGGGGCCUCUUCAUGAAAGCUCCUGCUAUUGGAUGAGCCUGCGUGAGAUUAGCUAGUUGGUGAGGUAAGGGCUCACCAAGGCGACGAUCUCUAGCUGGUCUGAGAGGACGAUCAGCCACACUGGGACUGAGACACGGCCCAGACUCCUACGGGAGGCAGCAGUGGGGAAUAUUGGACAAUGGGCGCAAGCCUGAUCCAGCAAUGCCGCGUGUGUGAAGAAGGCCUGCGGGUUGUAAAGCACUUUCAGUGGGGAGGAAACGCGUUGUGUGAAUAGCGCAGCGUCUUGACAUUACCCACAGAAGAAGCACCGGCUAACUCCGUGCCAGCAGCCGCGGUAAUACGGAGGGUGCGAGCGUUAAUCGGAAUUACUGGGCGUAAAGCGCGCGUAGGCGGUUGAUCACGUCCGAUGUGAAAGCCCUGGGCUUAACCUGGGAACGGCAUUGGAUACGGGUUGACUGGAGUGUAGUAGAGGGGAGUGGAAUUUCCGGUGUAGCGGUGAAAUGCGUAGAGAUCGGAAGGAACACCAGUGGCGAAGGCGGCUCUCUGGACUAACACUGACGCUGAGGUGCGAAAGCGUGGGUAGCAAACAGGAUUAGAUACCCUGGUAGUCCACGCUGUAAACGAUGAGAACUAGCCGUUGGAGGUAAAUAUACUUUUAGUGGCGCAGCUAACGCG